UACGUAGGCAGCAAGCGUUGUUCGGAGUUACUGGGCGUAAAGGGUGCGUAGGCGGUUUGUCGCGUCUGCUGUGAAAAUCCGAGGCUCAACCUCGGACUUGCAGUGGGUACGGGCAGACUAGAGUGUGGUAGGGGAGACUGGAAUUCCUGGUGUAGCGGUGGAAUGCGCAGAUAUCAGGAGGAACACCGGUGGCGAAGGCGGGUCUCUGGGCCGAUACUGACGCUGAGGAGCGAAAGCGUGGGGAGCGAACAGG
rnacentral:rRNA from 1 species